rnacentral:rRNA from 1 species
AACGAACGCUGGCGGCAGGCCUAACACAUGCAAGUCGAGCGAUCCUUUCGGGGAUAGCGGCGGACGGGUGAGUAACGCGUGGGAACGUACCCUUUGCUACGGAAUAGCCCCGGGAAACUGGGAGUAAUACCGUAUGUGCCCUCUGGGGGAAAGAUUUAUCGGCAAAGGAUCGGCCCGCGUUGGAUUAGGUAGUUGGUGGGGUAAUGGCCCACCAAGCCGACGAUCCAUAGCUGGUUUGAGAGGAUGAUCAGCCACACUGGGACUGAGACACGGCCCAGACUCCUACGGGAGGCAGCAGUGGGGAAUCUUAGGCAAUGGGGGCAACCCUGAUCUAGCCAUGCCGCGUGAGUGAUGAAGGCCCUAGGGUUGUAAAGCUCUUUCAGCUGGGAAGAUAAUGACGGUACCAGCAGAAGAAGCCCCGGCUAACUCCGUG